GAUGAACGCUGGCGGCGUGCCUAAUACAUGCAAGUCGAGCGAACAGACGAGAAGCUUGCUCCUCACACGUUAGACGCUGACGGGCGAGUAACUCGUGGAUACCUUACUUAUCAGCCUGGGAUCACUUCGGGACACCGGAGCUCAUAACGGAUAAUAUCUUAAUAUUCAUGGUUCAAUAGUGAUAGACGGAAUUGUUGUAUCUCAUAGCUGGCUCCUCGCCGCAUUAGCUAGUUGGUAAGGUAACGGCUUACCAAGGAAACGAUGCGUACCCGACCUGAGAGGGUGAUCGGCCACACGGGAACUAGGACACGGUCCGGACUCCUAGGGAAGGAAGCGGUAGGGAAUCUUCCGCAAUGAGCGAAGGCCUAACGGAGCAAGGCCGCUGAGGUGAGGAGGGUCUUCGAAUCUUAAAACUCUGUGAUUAGGGAAGAACAAAGGGGUAAUUAACUAUUCACGUCUUGACGGUACCUUAUCAGAAAGCCACGGCUAACUACGUG
rnacentral:rRNA from 1 species